rnacentral:ribozyme from 1 species
UGCCCAGCAACUCCUAUCCCUACCUUCACGCGGUACCGGCCGGAAACUAUGAGCAACCUUAGGGAAGAUCGGGUAACCAACCCCGGUGGAAACUUUGCGUCGUAGGCUGACAGGGAAGG